rnacentral:rRNA from 1 species
GAACGCACCGCAAGGUGAGUGGCGCACGGGUGAGUAACGCGUGGGAACCUGCCCUGGAGUGGGGGAUAACCCGGCGAAAGCCGGGCUAAUACCGCAUACGUCCUGAGGGAGAAAGAUUUAUCGCUCUAGGAGGGGCCCGCGUCGGAUUAGCUAGUUGGUGAGGUAACGGCUCACCAAGGCGACGAUCCGUAGCUGGUCUGAGAGGAUGAUCAGCCACACUGGGUCUGAGACACGGCCCAGACUCCUACGGGAGGCAGCAGUGGGGAAUAUUGGACAAUGGGGGCAACCCUGAUCCAGCAAUGCCGCGUGAGUGAUGAAGGCCUUAGGGUUGUAAAGCUCUUUCGGCGGGGACGAUGAUGACGGUACCCGCAGAAGAAGCCCCGGCUAACUUCGUGCCAGCAGCCGCGGUAAUACGAAGGGGGCAAGCGUUGUUCGGAAUUACUGGGCGUAAAGGGCGCGCAGGCGGCCGACGUAGUCAGGCGUGAAAGCCCCGGGCUUAACCUGGGAAUUGCGUUUGAUACUCGUUGGCUGGAGUUCGGGAGAGGAUGGUGGAAUUCCCAGUGUAGAGGUGAAAUUCGUAGAUAUUGGGAAGAACACCGGUGGCGAAGGCGGCCAUCUGGACCGAAACUGACGCUGAGGCGCGAAAGCGUGGGGA